rnacentral:rRNA from 1 species
AUUGAACGCUGGCGGCAUGCCUUACACAUGCAAGUCGAACGGCAGCACGGGAGCAAUCCUGGUGGCGAGUGGCGAACGGGGGAGUAAAGUAUCGGAACGUGCACAGACGAGGGGGAAAACGUGGCGAUAGCUACGCUAAUCGCGCAUGCGAACUAUGGAUGAAAGUGGGGGAGCGCAAGACCUAGCGCGAUUGGAGCGGCGGAUAUCAGAUUAGGUAGUUGGUGGGGUAAAGGCUCACCAAGCCGACGAGAUGUAGCUGGUCUGAGAGGACGACCAGGCACACUGGGACUGAGAAACGGCCCAGACUCCUACGGGAGGCAGCAGUGGGGAAUUUUGGACAAUGGGCGAAAGCCUGAUCCAGCCAUGCCGCGUGCAGGAUGAAGGCCUUCGGGUUGUAAACUGCUUUUGUUCGGAGCGAAAAGGUUUGGCCUAAUAAGCUGAGCUCAUGACGGUACCGUAAGAAUAAGCACCGGCUAACUACGUGCCAGCCGCCGCCGUAA